GAUCAUUGGGAAAUUUUACACAUGCGUUCGCGCUCUGAACCGCGGCUAUUUAUGACAUUGCUAACAAAAGAUGGGUUCCACUUUCUUUUUUUUUUUAAUAUUGUGAGUUUGUCGACUAUAAAUAGUCUAAAAGCAAACCACGGUUGAGGUACAAGAUGAGAGAGUACGAAAGGAAAAAAAAAACAAAAUCAAAUGAAAGCGUUCUAGCUUUCUGUGCCUAUUUUAUACCCCGUAAAAAUGAAAUGAAUGAAAAUUUCUAACAAUUUUCUGCUACGCUCAGGAUCAGGAGUUUCCUUGAAAUAAGUUUAGCGGUCCAUUCAACAAGACGAUCUGCUAGAAAGUAUUAGCAGGACGGGUAGAACAAGGCAAAGAUUGUUCUGUUGAUUGUAUUCGGUUGUUGAUUCGGUACAAUUAGCAUUUAUUAGAUGUUUAUCUAUGUUCUUAUAGAGAUAUUCAAGUGAAAGUGAACGUAUAAUAUUGUGUUUGAUGAUAUAAUAUACUCAAUAAAAUAUUAAUAGAUUAAUAGAGCCUUUCUAGCCUCGGCCUUAUAUACCUUUACAGGAGUAACCAUGAGCUGCUUAUUUCGAUUCUUCUUCUUCUUCAUUGGCACAACAACCGUUGUCGGUCAAGGCCUCCCUUUACCACCACUAGUGGGCUUAGCUUUCAGUCAGUGUCUUACUGGUUUACACAUAGCAGGAUAGUCAGUCCUACUAUGGGGGCACGGUCUAUUCGGGGCUUGAACCCAUGACGGGCAUUUUGUUAAGUCGUACGAGUUGACGACUGUACCACCAGACCGGCUAUUUCGAUUACUGAAUAUUAAAUGAUAAACAUAAAUACUGCCUAAAAAAGCAUGUAAAAACGCUCCAAUUUGGGUGUUUCACAAUCAAAAGCUGAGAGCAUCUCCUAAACAAGCUCAAAACUGCAGAUAAGCAAUUUCUUCCCCUGAGGCAGGGGUCUCCAAACUACGACAUGCGCCCCGCUUGUUGACGUUGUAAGGGUUAAAAUAAAUAGCAUAUUAUUUUUAUUAUUAAUAUGUCGUUACAAAAAUUAAGCUACAAUAAAAGAAAUUAUCAGAUUUUUUUUUGCAGCAUUCUUGAACACAUAAUUUUGCUCAGGUCGAAAUCAGACAGUAUGGUAAUCAAUCGAGCCUCUCCAACAUAGGGCUGACUAACUUCCAUUGAAUGAUCAGGCGAAAGAACACCGUUGGAGCCAAAGCCUCUCUAAACUAUUCCAUUGAAUGAUUUAAUAGGUUACAGAUAGCAAUCCAGCUAGUUGCAUUUAUGUGCCAACCCAGCAAAAGUCCGCCAAAUCAAUAAUAAUAUGUAUUUUAAAAAGUGGUUCAUGUAAGUUUAAUUGUAAAAAAAAUAAGUAUACCGACUACCUUUGAAAUCAUUAUCAGUAAACAGCUCAGUAACUGGUUCGCAACUAUCGCGAGUGAUAAGCAAUCUGGUACAACUGCUAUUGCGUAUUUUAUUACUAAACUCUAGUCCCUUCUCUAUCAAAGCGUAGAAUAAAUAGUCCAGCCGCCCUUUUGUGGCGAUCCGUUUUAAUCGCAAUUAAUUAUUCCCUGUGCGAGUGCGAACAGCCUUUUGCUUUCCAUAUUUUACUGCCAGCUACUGACGUCAUUACGUUUUCGGUAUCACGUCUCGCCAGAUGAACCGCAAAACCUCUGUAACGGAAAGGUCCCAUCUCCAGGUACCCGCUUCCGGCACCGACGUCGUUGCCACGUGCGCAGCAAAUUAAAUUUUCAUCUUGAAUGAUUGCGGUUUUAGCUUCCAAAACAACCACCGUUGGGGCGUACGUCAUGAUCGAAGGAGGCUUAUGACCGUCCAAAUGCUUGGACCAAACGAUAGACAACCGGUUUUCAGUAGAACAAUGGUAGGCAAAAACAGCGGGUUCAGCGCAGUGUUUUUUUAAUGUUUUAUCAACACAGCAGUGCGAACAGUAUUGAUAAGGAGCCGUGCGAAAAUCAGUUCGCAGGGGUCCUUCGCUAUAAAUACUUCCAUGAUAAUGGGCCCAGACAAUGUCAGCCUUGCCAGAUUAGUGAAGGAUGUUUAUGAAAGGCUAGACAUGUUUUUACUCCCAUCAGGCGAUUUCGAUCCAAUGCCCACGCGCAUGCGAUUCCAGAUUGUCACUAAAUGCCUCGGCAGAUUCAGCGUUACAGGGGUGAAGGAAUUAUUCAAGAUCGUGGCCACAAUCAAUCGAUCAAGGAAAGGACACGUCACUUUCUAAAUCACGAUGAAGUAACACUGAUAUUCCAUGUAACUUGUAAUUUGUUGUCAUAUAUUGGAAUAACUCUUCUACUUGAA